UGCAAGUCGAACGGAGCUGAGAGGAGCUUGCUUUUCUUAGCUUAGUGGCGAACGGGUGAGUAACGCGUGAGUAACCUGCCCUGGAGUGGGGGACAACAGUUGGAAACGACUGCUAAUACCGCAUAAGCCCACGGCCCGGCAUCGGGCUGAGGGAAAAGGAUUUAUUCGCUUCAGGAUGGACUCGCGUCCAAUUAGCUAGUUGGUGAGGUAACGGCCCACCAAGGCGACGAUUGGUAGCCGGACUGAGAGGUUGAACGGCCACAUUGGGACUGAGACACGGCCCAGACUCCUACGGGAGGCAGCAGUGGGGGAUAUUGCACAAUGGGGGAGACCCUGAUGCAGCGACGCCGCGUGGAGGAAGAAGGUUUUCGGAUUGUAAACUCCUGUCGUUAGGGACGAUAAUGACGGUACCUAACAAGAAAGCACCGGCUAACUACGUGCCAGCAGCCGCGGUAAAACGUAGGGUGCAAGCGUUGUCCGGAAUUACUGGGUGUAAAGGGAGCGCAGGCGGACCGGCAAGUUGGAAGUGAAAACUAUGGGCUCAACCCAUAAAUUGCUUUCAAAACUGCUGGCCUUGAGUAGUGCAGAGGUAGGUGGAAUUCCCGGUGUAGCGGUGGAAUGCGUAGAUAUCGGGAGGAACACCAGUGGCGAAGGCGACCUACUGGGCACCAACUGACGCUGAGGCUCGAA
rnacentral:rRNA from 1 species